GUAGGUGGCAAGCGUUGUUCGGAUUUACUGGGUGUAAAGGGAGCGCAGGCGGUGCGGCAAGUCUGAUGUGAAAGCCCGGGGCUCAACCCCGGGACUGCAUUGGAAACUACCGAACUAGAGUGUCGGAGAGGUAAGUGGAAUUCCUAGUGUAGCGGUGAAAUGCGUAGAUAUUAGGAGGAACACCAGUGGCGAAGGCGGCUUACUGGACGAUAACUGACGCUGAGGCUCGAAAGCGUGGGGAGCAA
rnacentral:rRNA from 1 species